GAUAGGUUUAACCAUAAUUUUUGUGAAAAGGUCAUUAGAUUUGAGGACAUAGCCCUAUCUAAAAUGGUUGAAGAAUGCUGGUUAAUUUUUAAAGAAGAUAUUCAGGAAGUCAGCAGGGCCUUAACAAAUAACAAUGCCCCGAUUAGGAAUGAAUGGAUAUCAAUGACAACUUCAAUGAUGAUUGAGGAGCUUCGCUGCACAAAUUACUUUGAUAGAGAACUAUGGAAAACCAUCUAGAGGUCCUUAAGGAGUGAUAGAAGAAUCUUCAUAGCUAGGAAAGUCUUCGAGGUUGAUGAAGAUAUGAGAAAAGGUAGACUAUUUAACAAACUCAAUAAUUUCUGCAAAUCAAAAAAAAUUUUUUUGAGAAUUACCAUCGAUACGGUUAGAAACAGCAAAGUUAUAUAUUUUCAGGAUGAUCAAAUGUCCCUAUGGACAGAAUGAAUGUCUUUGAAUCUAGAAAACCCACGAUAGUUUUUCCGGAACAAUAUACUACCUUUCAAUCUGUCCCAUUUUACACUGGCUGAGAUAUCUGCUGCCCUAAAGAAACUGAAAAAUCAUAAAGCUCCUGGACAGGACAAUAUAAUGGGGGAACAACUGAAAGCUGCAUCAGACGCGAUACCACGUUUUCUGCCCAUUAUUUUUAAUAAGGUAUGGUCUUCUGGGAUAACUCCUAAAGAUUGGAACCUAUCAAUGAUGUGCAAUUUUCCAAAGAUCCCUAAUCCCAUCAACUUUCGAGAUUAUAGGGCUAUAGCUCUCACCUCUAUUGCGUUUAAGGUCUAUAUGGUCUUACUUAAGACACAAAUUCUACAAACAUCACAUAAUCUUUUCGCGAAAUACAUCUGUGCCUACCAUCCAGGCAAGAAUAUCAUGGAGCCUUUCCUUACUCUCAAAAUUAUAAUUCAAAAAUGUGAUAAAUAUAAAUUACCUUCUCUUUUUACCUUUAUUUCUAAUUUCAAUUGAUAUGAACACAUUCUCAAUUAUUGAUAGUAAUUAUCAAGGCUUACAUUAAAAAUGUUAAACUUAAAAUUAGCCACCACCCACCCUUAAAGUAAUUAAAUUAUUUUUGCAGUUCUUGGGUAUAGGCUUUUGUUUUGCCCAUUUCUUUUUGUCUAUUAGCCUAUAGACGUUUAAGUAACAGUUCUCGGACUGUUGCGCGUACAAGUACGUGCGGCUUGCCCACAAACGUGUGAAGAGCUCUUCAUUUUUAUCCCCUUAAUUAACUAUCCAGUUUGAUGGAUUUUUGAGGAAAACCUAGCGUAGCUCUGUUGUAUCCACAACCAGAGGGCGAAAACGCUUUUAUCACGUAUCACUUGUUUUUUGUAAAGCCCGUUUAAUGCAGCCUAUAAAGGGUAUCGGUCCGAUCCGUUUGUCCGUCUUUUGUCAUUAUACCAUUUCGCUUCAAUAUUUCGAAAAAUUUCCUAGAAAAUUUACAUAAAGUCUUUACUUCAAUACUGCAUGAUAUUUGCAAGUAUUUGACUGCAGAAGUAUUUUAGGGAUCAAUUUUAUCAAAUCAAAAUUUAUAUCUGGCAAUCAGGCUGGUGAUGCAGACAUGAAUGUGGUGAUAUCUGGGGUCUUUUUGGAAGAAGUUCAAGAUCCUUUAAUCGAAUCUUAGAACUACCUCUACAUUUCCCAUUCUUAGCUGAAAGUUUUAUAGAUGAAGAAGAUGUAGUAGAUACCUCCAUUGCAGCUAAUAGCUCUGAUACUUUUCCAGUAAUAGUUAAUAGCAUUCAAUCUUAAAUAUCGAACAACCAUAUAAUUUAUUUUUAUAAUGUGUUACAGUUUGAGAAAAUUAAUAUUAACAUUGUAUUGUGUGAAAUUAAAUAUUAUAUUUUAUUAAAAGAUAU